AGAGUUUGAUCAUGGCUCAGGAUGAACGCUAGCUACAGGCUUAACACAUGCAAGUCGAGGGGAAACGACAUCGAAAGCUUGCUUUUGAUGGGCGUCGACCGGCGCACGGGUGAGUAACGCGUAUCCAACCUGCCCAUCACUUGGGGAUAACCUUGCGAAAGUAAGACUAAUACCCAAUGACGUCUCUAGAAGACAUCUGAAAGAGAUUAAAGAUUUAUCGGUGAUGGAUGGGGAUGCGUCUGAUUAGCUUGUUGGCGGGGUAACGGCCACAAGGCGACGAUCAGUAGGGGUUCCGAGACGGGUAAGUCCCCCANAUUGGAACUGAGACACGGUCCAAACUCCUACGGGAGCA
rnacentral:rRNA from 1 species